rnacentral:rRNA from 1 species
AGAGUUUGAUCCUGGCUCAGAUUGAACGCUGGCGGAAUGCUUUACACAUGCAAGUCGAACGGCAGCACGGGGGCAACCCUGGUGGCGAGUGGCGAACGGGUGAGUAAUACAUCGGAACGUGCCCAGUUGUGGGGGAUAACGUAGCGAAAGCUACGCUAAUACCGCAUACGAACUGAGGUUGAAAGCGGGGGAUCGCAAGACCUCGCGCGAUUGGAGCGGCCGAUGGCAGAUUAGGUAGUUGGUGGGGUAAAGGCUCACCAAGCCGACGAUCUGUAGCUGGUCUGAGAGGACGACCAGCCACACUGGGACUGAGACACGGCCCAGACUCCUACGGGAGGCAGCAGUGGGGAAUUUUGGACAAUGGGCGCAAGCCUGAUCCAGCCAUUCCGCGUGCAGGAUGAAGGCCCUCGGGUUGUAAACUGCUUUUGUACGGAACGAAAAGGCCUGAGUUAAUACCUCGGGCUCAUGACGGUACCGUAAGAAUAAGCACCGGCUAACUACGUGCCAGCAGCCGCGGUAAUACGUAGGGUGCGAGCGUUAAUCGGAAUUACUGGGCGUAAAGCGUGCGCAGGCGGUGAUGUAAGACAGGUGUGAAAUCCCCGGGCUUAACCUGGGAACUGCAUUUGUGACUGCAUCGCUGGAGUGCGGCAGAGGGGGAUGGAAUUCCGCGUGUAGCAGUGAAAUGCGUAGAUAUGCGGAGGAACACCGAUGGCGAAGGCAAUCCCCUGGGCCUGCACUGACGCUCAUGCACGAAAGCGUGGGGAGCAAACAGGAUUAGAUACCCUGGUAGUCCACGCCCUAAACGAUGUCAACUGGUUGUUGGGUCUUCACUGACUCAGUAACGAAGCUAACGCGUGAAGUUGACCGCCUGGGGAGUACGGCCGCAAGGUUGAAACUUAAAGGAAUUGACGG